UGCGGGGUAGAACAGUAUGGUAGUUCGACGGGCUCAUAAUCCGUAGGUCGUUGGUUCAAAUCCAACCCCCGCUACCA
rnacentral:tRNA from 1 species